GGGGAGAGGCCCAUAUAACGGCCCUUAGGUGCCCCCAUGGCCGUGUUAGGAACAGGAGGAGAACCUCGUCCUAACAUGAGCAAAGUCAAAGGCCCGAUUCUUUUAAAUCGGAUGGGGGGAGAGGCCUUACAAUGCCCGAAUGCGCCCCCACAGCCAUGUCAGAAAUAGGAGGAGAACCUCAUCCUGACAUGAGCAAAGUCAAAGGCCCGAUUCUUUUAGACCGGAUGGGGGGAGAGGCCUUACAACGCCCGAAUGCGCCCCCACAGCCAUGUCAGGAACAGGAGGAGAACCUCGUCCUGACAUGAGCAAAGUCAAAGGCCCAGUUCUUUUAGAUCGGAUGGGGGG
rnacentral:lncRNA from 1 species